UACGUAGGGGACGAGCGUUGUCCGGAAUUAUUGGGCGUAAAGAGCGCGCAGGUGGUUGAUUAAGUCUGAUGUGAAAGCCCACGGCUUAACCGUGGAGGGUCAUUGGAAACUGGUCGACUUGAGUGCAGAAGAGGGAAGUGGAAUUCCAUGUGUAGCGGUGAAAUGCGUAGAGAUAUGGAGGAACACCAGUGGCGAAGGCGGCUUCCUGGUCUGUAACUGACACUGAGGCUCGAAAGCGUGGGGAGCAAACAGGAUUAGAUACCCCGGUA
rnacentral:rRNA from 1 species